rnacentral:rRNA from 1 species
UACGGAGGGGGCUAGCGUUGUUCGGAAUUACUGGGCGUAAAGCGCGCGUAGGCGGACCUGCAAGUCGGGGGUGAAAGCCCGAGGCUCAACCUCGGAACUGCCUUCGAUACUGCGGGUCUCGAGUCCGGGAGAGGUGAGUGGAAUUCCUAGUGUAGAGGUGAAAUUCGUAGAUAUUAGGAAGAACACCAGUGGCGAAGGCGGCUCACUGGCCCGGUACUGACGCUGAGGCACGAAAGCGUGGGGAGCAAACAGGG